UGGGGAAUAUUGGACAAUGGGGGCAACCCUGAUCCAGCAAUGCCGCGUGUGUGAAGAAGGUUUUCGGAUUGUAAAGCACUUUCGGCGGGGACGAUGAUGACGGUACCCGCAGAAGAAGCCCCGGCUAACUUCGUGCCAGCAGCCGCGGUAAUACGAAGGGGGCUAGCGUUGCUCGGAAUGACUGGGCGUAAAGGGCGUGUAGGCGGUUUGUACAGUCAGAUGUGAAAUCCCCGGGCUUAACCUGGGAGCUGCAUUUGAUACGUGCAGACUAGAGUGUGAGAGAGGGUUGUGGAAUUCCCAGUGUAGAGGUGAAAUUCGUAGAUAUUGGGAAGAACACCGGUGGCGAAGGCGGCAACCUGGCUCAUGACUGACGCUGAGGCGCGAAAGCGUGGGGAGCAAACAGGAUUAGAUACCCUGGUAGUCCACGCUGUAAACGAUGUGUGCUGGAUGUUGGGCCAACUUAGUUGUUCAGUGUCGUAGCUAACGCGAUAAGCACACCGCCUGGGGAGUACGGCCGCAAGGUUGAAAC
rnacentral:rRNA from 1 species